rnacentral:rRNA from 1 species
UUAAGUGACGAUAGCCUAGGAGAUACACCUGUACCCAUGCCGAACACAGAAGUUAAGCCCUAGAACGCCGGAAGUAGUUGGGGGUUGCCCCCUGUGAGAUAGGGAAUUUGCUAAGC